rnacentral:rRNA from 1 species
GGAAUUGUUCGCAAUGGGCGCAAGCCUGACGACGCAACGCCGCGUGGAGGAUGAAGAUCUUCGGGUCGUAAACUCCUGUCGAGUGGGAAGAAUCGCCUGGGGGCUAAUAUCCCCGAGGCCUGACGGUACCACUAAAGGAAGCCCCGGCUAACUCCGUGCCAGCAGCCGCGGUAAUACGGGGGGGGCAAGCGUUGUUCGGAAUUACUGGGCGUAAAGGGCUCGUAGGCGGCCAACUAAGUCGGAUGUGAAAUCCCCAGGCUCAACCUGGGAACUGCAUCCGAUACUGGAUGGCUUGAAUUCGGGAGAGGGAUGCAGAAUUCCAGGUGUAGCGGUGAAAUGCGUAGAUAUCUGAAGGAACAUCAGUGGCGAAAGCGACUUCCUGGACCAAUACUGACGCUCAUGUGCGAAAGCGUGGGGAGCAAAC